UACGUAGGGCGCAAGCGUUGUCCGGAAUUAUUGGGCGUAAAGAGCUCGUAGGCGGUUUGUCGCGUCGGAUGUGAAAGCCCGGGGCUUAACCCCGGGUCUGCAUUCGAUACGGGCAGACUGGAGUGUGGUAGGGGAGAUCGGAAUUCCUGGUGUAGCGGUGAAAUGCGCAGAUAUCAGGAGGAACACCGGUGGCGAAGGCGGAUCUCUGGGCCAUUACUGACGCUGAGGAGCGAAAGCGUGGGAGCGAACAGG
rnacentral:rRNA from 1 species